AACCGCGGGCCGCUGGCCCCAGUACAAGGGAGGCCACGUGGAGAGGCUGGCACCGGAGCCGGCCCUCGGGGAGGCAGAGAGAGCAGCUUCUGUGGGUUUUUGAAGUGACCACACGCCAGUGUUACACAAUGUGAUACGAUGGUGGGGGGGAGUAGUUUUUCUUGUUUUUCCAAAUUAAGGUACUGUUUCUUUGAAAAAUUAAUUAAAAAAUAAGUUUUUAGAGUGAAAAAUGAUCUGGAGCAAUUGGCCCACGAGCUGAUGAAAUCAGUGACAUGUGUGUUUUGCCAGGAGUUUCUAAUCUGCCAGUAGAUCCAAAGAACUGAGGUAAAUAAAAAACCAUGGACACUGGGGCAUUGCGAGACUCCAAGGAAAGGAAAGGAUCUCCUUCGGAUCCUGAUGGGUAUCGAUAAUUGUUCUUCAUCCGUGACAAUCCUGGUUCGACUGGAUCUUCUGUGACAUUUUUGAGAGAAUUGGAAAUUUUAUGAACUUUCCCUCAACAUGAGCUCUAGAAAUGUUUAAAAUAAACAAAUAAAUACCACUGAGCUACAGAAAUAAAAGACAACUGGUGAAAGGGGAACUUCUAUAAGGAAGACUGGACUGAAGUCAAGCAGAAAUCCUCGGAAAAGCCACAGAGGUGAAACCAGGGAAAGAGUCAUUUAUUGACUCAACAAGCCAGAUACCUACCACAUUGAAAACUUUGUGCUGGUUAGUGAAGACAUAAUAUUCGAUUACAGACACUCUUUCAAGGGCUUUUAAGUUCGGAAGUGACAUUGAAUCACACAUGGAUAACAAUAAUGUAAGGUAGGAAACCGGCCUCAUUAGAAACAGAGGAGAGAUAGAAGAGCUGCGAGGAUCAUGACUGGGAUGAAGGCACAGCUCCCAGUGAUCAGAAAUAUCGGGAAAUGUCCUGGGAGACAAAGGCACAACGAAAGCUCACUGCAAGAAGCCAGGUGAAGGUGCUGAAAGACAGACCCAAACCAGAGAGUAAAUGUACUUAUUCUGGGCCACUUACAACUAUUUAGGACCAACCCGGAGCCACACCGGCGUCUCAGGGCCCUCUCUGAUCUCCCUGUGCACCUCAGACCCAGUCCGCCAUCCUGGGAUCCUGAAUUGUACUGUGAUGGAUGGCCAUGUUACCUACAUGGACGCCCACACAUUGCUGGGUUUCCUCUGAAUAAUUCAUUCCGAACAGAGUACCUCAAGGGAAGUAUGUCUUUCAUGGAUCCUCAGAAACAAGAAUUAAAUAAAUGGAAAGGGGUCUUGAAACUGGCUCUCCCACAGGACUAAGGAAGACCAGCUCUGCUAAGGAAGGGGCUCUCACGGGACACUAGCAGUCAUAUUUGCUGGUGAAAGUUUACAAGACCACACUGUACUGAAUAAUGUGAGUGAAGAAGUAAACACUAAUAGAUUGGAUGUGCUGUUUACAAAAAAUGCAUUAAAAAAGUGAUAGACUUCUCAUGCCAGUCAAGAUGUUGUAAGACUACCACAGCCUCUCUCUUCCACUGAUUCCAAAUGGACACCUGGAUGGACUACAAAAGGCAAAAAAGCAACUCUCUGAAGAAUCUGAGAAAUAGCAGACCGAUGGGGAAGAACAUGAAGAAUGACCAAUGAAAGAAGAAAAACUGCAUCAUCAUCUCAGUAGACGCAGAAAAGCAUUUGACAAAUCGAACAUACAUUCAUGAUGAAAACUCUCAGCAAAAUGGGAAUAGAAGAAAAUGUUCUUAACCUCAUAAAGAGCAAGAUAAGGACUCCAGCGUGCAAGAGAGAAACCAACCUAAAAGACGAAGCCAGGGAUGAGGACUGCAGAGUGCGGAGAAGGAGGGAAAGGGUCCUUGAUGAGCCACUGUUUAUACUGUCCCGGGGCCUGUCCCGCCUCUGAAGUUACACUGAUGUGAGAUCAUCAGCCAGGGUUCUCGGAAGUUUUCAUUGAAUGCAUAAAGGAUAGAGGAGUAAUAGUCGUGUUUAACCAACAUGGAACAGCAUUUGAUCUUUUGUGGCGUCCUGUUCCUUUCGUUACCUGGUGUCAUUCCUGCGAUAACCUGUGGGGCUUCUCUGGCCCUUAUUAAAUGUAAGUUUUCACAAUGGGGGGAAAGGCCUUCAAGAAAACACUUUGUGGUUAAAGAUGUGUCCCACAUGUGCGAGGCUGGCAGUUCAGAGGCCCAGAGACGCCACUCCGCGCCCUCACGGAGCUGCAGUGAGUCCUGACGGCGGCGCUCGGGUGAGCGGGGCUGGAGCAGGCAGGGUCGGCGUUCAGGUUCCCGGCUGAGAGCGACGCUUAUUUCUUUGAGGUCUGAUGUUACAUGGAAAUCCAGGACAAAAUCUGGUAUGCACAGCCUUGAAACAUUAUAUCAAAAUUUGGCUUUUAUCGUGUUUUUUUUUUUUUUUAAGAAAUUUAAAAGGGUAGGGAGAGUGAUUUGUUUCUGACAACUCUGGCAAGGCUUUCGCUAAGUAUACUUUCAGAGCAGCAAUUCCCUAGCUGACAGAGACCUGCGCAUGACCUCGAAUAUCUACAGCCUGAGAAAUGUUACGUGGAGCUGGAGCCGAUUUCAGGCAGGCAUUUCAGGUCCUGAUGAACAGACCGAGGUACCGCUGGACUUUCGACUGUCAGUGCUUUUUUCCAAAAGGCUGGGCCUGACGCAGGACUCGGGCCCCUGAGAAGGAUCCAAACUACAGGAUUGACAUCACCAAAGAACGGAAAUAGCCUUUCAAUUUUUCCAAACUCACAGUCCCUGCUUAUCUUAACCUGACUCCAGCACCUCCUGACCUGGAAGGUGUUUCCAAGCCCCUCAUCCCUAAGGAAUUAUUCACUCAUGCUUCUCUUGGAUCUUUGUGUUUUUAUUAUGUCCGUGAUCCCCUUCUGUCCUGCCUCUUAAUCCCCACCGCCGGGAACAGGAGGCUGUGCUCUCUACUCUGUGUCCUCAAAGUCAUCUUUCAUUCUUUCCUCCACACUCACUGUAUCUCAUUAAUAGUUAACUCUUCCUGUUCCUCUCUUCUCGAUAGCUCCUGAGACCAUUUACUUCUUCAUAUUUCCACUGCCUUAACUGAGUCCAGGCCACCUCCAGGUCUUGCUUUUAUCAUCACAACAAUCAAAUAGGUUUUCCUGGCUCAAGUCCUGCCCCCUGUCUCCCUCCCCUCAUCCAUAUACAAGUUCUGUCUGGAAAAAGUCCGACCAUUGUUAAUAUAAUGAGAUCAGUUGGGUGUGAUAUCAAUGUAACCUGGCCACCAAAAAGAGUAGACUGGAAUGCACACAUGUGAACAAUGACAACUUCACUGUACUAGUCAGUGGGGGUGGUAGAUGCUGUUGAGUGAGCAUGUGUACUGUGUGGCCAUCACAUUCAAAAUAACUGAGCACAACAAUGAAUCUGCAUCAAAUUUUGUGUUAAGCUUGAACAUCCCUCCAUGGAAACUCUUUGGAUGAUUCAGAAGGCUGCAGCUCUGGGCAACUGGUGACCGGAAGCUUCAUCACAACAACAUGUCCACUCAUACACCACUUCUCAUGUUGAGUUUUUUUGGUGAAACAUCAAAUCGCCCAGGUGACUCAGCCCCACUAUAGCCCUGACUUGGUAUCUGUGACUUCUGGCUUCUCCCAAAGCCGAAAUCAUCUUAGAGAAGAGAUUUCAGACUAUUGAUGAGAUUCGGGAGAAUAUGAUGGGGCAGCUGAUGGCAACUGGGAGAACUGUGUGAGGUCCCCAGGUGCUUACUUUGAAGAGGACUGAGGCAUCAUUGUCCUACGUACAAUGUUUCUUGUAUAUCUUAUCUUCUUCAAUAAAUGUCUCCA